GGAAGGACCAGGGUUGCCAGCUCUAGGAAGGGCCUGUAGAGCCAGCUCCAGAAUCAGAGGAGCCCAUGCAGUCUGAACCAACACUGCAGCCACUACAACUCCAGCAGCGACCACCGCAGCCACAGAGACAGCCCCGGCCCCGGAAACAAGGGAGAGGUACGGCGGUGGAGAGACUCAAGGAGGUUUACUUUGGCGUCCAAUCAAAUUACCAUGGGACUUAUUCUAUAAUUGCAUGCAUUUUACCCUGGUUGAGAGAACUGGAUGAUGGAGAAGAUAGCACUCCAAGAUGUCCCUGAAGGAAAUGGGCUAUAUGGGGAACUGGUGCUGCUGGGAGGCUACAAUAACUAUUCAGUGCUUCUGAAUUACAAAACAGAUCUUUAAUUAUGUAGGGCUUUGGACAGAUAAACUUGACGGGAGCUGAUCUAAAAUCUUCCAAUGGAAAAUCUUCCAUCAGAAAACAGUGGCUCAUCAAAACUAAAACCUUCUCCAGGAAUGUGUCUAUUCUGGCAAAAUUGCAUUUAGAUAAGUUUUUAAACAAGGCAUAUUGAAAAGAUUAAAACAAAACAUU